UGGGGCAGGGAAGGGGUGAGCAACUUUAGGUGGGAGGACACUGAUGCAAGGCAUCUGGAAGGGAGGCUGGUAGGAGGUGCAGAGGCAGGCGCCACCCACACCCUCCACUGCCAGGCGAGGCAUGUGCUCUUGGGAGAGGGGGUGGAGGUAAAAAUGGGACUUUAUUGGGAAGCUGCAAAAAGCAGUGGGGCAGUGGUAAGCAAGGAGGUGCAGUGGGAGACGCAGGAUGAAUGUGUCUGGCUUACGUUAGGCAGCUGCAGUCCCAAAUUUCAUUUAUCUAAAUUAUACUGUGGGCUAAAGGGUCCUCUUGCUUUGGACUAACUAGUUGUUAGGAGCCUGCUCCUUUGCUUCGCUGUCAGUGUCACCUCAGGACAGCGUGCCUGGUUUAUAUAAAACUUGCUCAAUGCGUCUCAAAGGUAUUCUAAGGUCACUCCCCCUCCCCCGCCCCUUGUAAUGCCUCAAAAGCCCUGCUGCUGCACUGGAUUACUCUGAAGAGCUAAAGCUUGCAGACAGCAACAGCGGGACUGGUGGGCUAACAUAUCAUAAUCAACUCUAUAUAUAGCUAGGGAGAUUUAAAAAAAAAAAAAGCCCUGCUUUUUUGCUGAUACUAAGGCAUGCUGCAAAAGAGAGGAUUGGCUCACUGUUAGAAUCUGAAAUGUUUGAUUGAGUUAAAAUAGUUCGCAGGACUGAAGCAAACACACUGUUUAGUAAAUACAGAACAUUUACUGUAGCUUAUUGGAUGGAUGUUUUAAUCUUUGGAGAGAGAGAGGUCAUUGGCCGUGUUAGUCUGCAGUUUGGCAGAAAGCAGGGUAGAGUUGCAUCUUAAUGCCAAACUAAAUAAUAAUGCAGUACAUCUAUGAUUCAAUGGUUUUCAACCUUUUUUUUUUCAUUUGCAGACCCCUACAAAAUUUCAAAUGGAGGUGCAGACCCUUUUGUAUUAAAAAGGCUGCACACUCCUCUGCUUCAGAAAGUGGAGCCACUCUACCCUGCCAUUCAUUGACUAUUGGGUUUCUACAACUGGAUUGUUGAGAGACAGCUAGGACCCACUGUAGAAUAUGCAAAACUUGGUGAUGGAUUUGGUGGCCUGCCUCUUCAGUUAAGGGCUUUAAAUCCAUGUCUCUUCAUCUUCUGAGGAGCACUCCAGGAAGGCAAGGGGGUACAGCGGAAAUUAGAAAGAAAGCUACAAAAGGAGAAUACCUUCUUUAAGCUGUUUGGACUACUUGUGUACCUAAACAUCCUGGGUACCCUAGCUCAUAAAAAGACAAAGAGCCAAAUAUCUGUGAUAAGCAAUCAAAAUCUUAAUUGUUCUUUGUGGAAAGGAUAAAUUCUUCAUCACAGGCAGGAGCCCAAAACGGGAAAGUGCAAAAUGAGGUAAUUGCUCCAUGCCAUUGUGAGAGAUGGUACUUUUAGUCUUAGUCAAACUCCCCUCUACUUUCUGAAGAAUGUGACCAAGUCAAAAUGGGGAUUUUUCCAUGGAAACCAAAGAGCUUAAGGUGGCAAGAAGCAUGGUUUCAUUGUGUUGUAAAGCAACUCAAAUCUAGCCUGAUUACCUGUUUUGCAGCAGCUUUGGCUACUUCCUCUGUAGUGAAAUAAGGUGAUUCCCAUAUUAGACAGUUUUCUCCUCCAGGGUCCAGUUGAAAUCAGGGAAUUCUUCACUGAAAAGGGAGCUCAGUGGCACUUCUCCAGCCCUUAAGAGUUUUUGCAAAUCAGUUCACAUGGGCAGCCCUGGCAUAGAUGGAAUCUGUUUCAGAGGCCCUUUGUUAAAGAACACUGUUCAUAGCUGACAACUAUGGGUGUGUUUCAUUUUAUUUUUCAGCUUGGAUUACAAAUUCUGAUGUGACUUCAAACUUGGAAGGCAGACAUAUGGGUGAAAUAUUUACUGAUGGCCCCAGAGUUCUGGGGCAAGAUUUUCAGUAAGCUAAUGGAUAACAUCAUGAUGCAAUUGCGGGAGAAGAACAAAGAGACUUUCCAGCCUGUAAGGAAAUGCAGAGGGAUGUACUACAAACCAAAGCAAUUGUUUUAUGGUUUUCCCACCAACAGAUGAAACAGGAAAUCAAUGACCAGUACAGGAGAGGCAGAAUGAACAUGGGGUGAAUUUGUGAGCCAUAAUUCACUAACCUACACACAAAAGACAUCAUGCCAAACUACCCCAGCCAUAAAAGAAACCUUGUCUUCGGGGCAAGCUGCUAUUAUUCAUGAACAGAUGGCUGCUUUCCAGUUCGUAAAAAUACUUCUGGAUACCUCUCCCCAAAUGUAGUGCAUUUAUUCCAAAUUAUGUCUGCUCAGCAAUAGGCAAGAUUGAGUUUUGCACAAGUAAGUGUUUUUAUUAUACCUAAAAUGAUGACUGCUUUAAAACUUGAUAUUUGAAGCUCCUGCAGCUCUAGAAACAAGAGUUUGUAUGCAGUUGGGAAGAGCAGUUUUCUGCUCCCCGUCGGAAUACAGCAGUCAACUCUAAGCCUGGGAGAGCCCGAGAUACUAAAUCUGAAAAGUGAUUUUUUUUUUUUAAUAUGUAGCAAAGCUAUUCAAGAGGUUUUAAUAGCUUCCUAUGAGUUCUAUAUAACUGCAUUCAUGAUAACUAAGGCAAUUGGAUUUGCAGGUAGAGUGAUUAAAUAUACAGUCUCAGUUUUUUUAAACUCUGAAACAUUACUACAGUAGAUUUUCUGCUACACAUAUACACACAACAUAACAUGCAUUUUGCCAGCACUUGCUUGAGGUAAUCAGCGUAACCCUCAUGAUGAGCAAAAUUGCUAUCUCAGAUUCUGCUGAUGAAAUCUUAACACUACCCCUUCCACACAUAAUACAUUUUUGUGUUAAGUUUGAGAGGGGAGAAUUUUACUGUAAAAUUACAAAAGAAGCAGUCUCUUCUUCGGAUCAGCAGUGGUGCCAGUGACUUCUUAAUGGUCAAUUUCUUGAUUUGCUCUUAGCCCUCACUUGAGUUUGUCACCUACACUCUGGGUGUAACCUGACUGCAUGUUUGGUCUUUGUCCCCCUGAUUUGAAGAAGAAUAGAUACAAUAGGGUUUGUGCUGACAAGUAUAAGGUUGAACUGCUUUUGUAAAGUGGCAACUAACUGUUCAGACUUCUUCACAGAAAGAUCCUUGAUGGUACAGGACUGUGUUUGGGUUUUAUUUGUACGUGAAUUUGCACCAGAUUAAUUAAAUUGCGUUAAAUUCACACCAUGUUUUAUUUUGGUGGAAAUGGCUGGGUAGAUACCCUUUGCAACAUAAGUGUUUUAAUUUAAUUUAACAAACUGGUU